rnacentral:rRNA from 1 species
GAAUAGAGAAUCCUCCGAGCGAUUUUAAAGACUAGACCCACAAGUCAAAUCAAACUAUCGCUUAUUGAUCCAAAAACUUGAUCAACGGAACA